AUUGAACGCUGGCGGAAUGCUUUACACAUGCAAGUCGAGCGGCAGCGCGGGGGCAACCCUGGCGGCGAGCGGCGAACGGGUGAGUAACAUAUCGGAACGUACCCAGUCGUGGGGGAUAACUAUCCGAAAGGAUAGCUAAUACCGCAUACGACCUGAGGGUGAAAGCGGGGGACCGAAAGGCCUCGCGCGAUUGGAGCGGCCGAUAUCGGAUUAGCUAGUUGGUGAGGUAAAGGCUCACCAAGGCGACGAUCCGUAGCUGGUCUGAGAGGACGACCAGCCACACUGGAACUGAGACACGGUCCAGACUCCUACGGGAGGCAGCAGUGGGGAAUUUUGGACAAUGGGGGCAACCCUGAUCCAGCCAUUCCGCGUGAGUGAAGAAGGCCUUCGGGUUGUAAAGCUCUUUUGUCGGGGACGAAACGGUUUCACCUAAUACGUGAGACUACUGACGGUACCCGAAGAAUAAGCACCGGCUAACUACGUG
rnacentral:rRNA from 1 species